UACGUAGGGUGCGAGCGUUAAUCGGAAUUACUGGGCGUAAAGCGUACGCAGGCGGCGCGUUAAGACAGGUGUGAAAGCCCCGAGCUUAACUUGGGAAUUGCGCUUGUGACUGGCGUGCUGGAGUGUGGCAGAGGGAGGUGGAAUUCCACGUGUAGCAGUGAAAUGCGUAGAGAUGUGGAGGAACACCGAUGGCGAAGGCAGCCUCCUGGGCCAGCACUGACGCUCAUGCACGAAAGCGUGGGGAGCAAACAGG
rnacentral:rRNA from 1 species